GACGAACGCUGGCGGCGUGCUUAACACAUGCAAGUCGAGCGGUAAGGCCCUUUCGGGGGUACACGAGCGGCGAACGGGUGAGUAACACGUGGGUGACCUGCCCUCAGCUCUGGGAUAAGCCUGGGAAACCGGGUCUAAUACCGGAUAUGACUCCAUGACGCAUGUUGUGGGGUGGAAAGCCUUGUGCGGCUGAGGAUGGGCCCGCGGCCUAUCAGCUUGUUGGUGGGGUGAUGGCCUACCAAGGCGACGACGGGUAGCCGGCCUGGAGA
rnacentral:rRNA from 1 species